rnacentral:lncRNA from 1 species
ACACACAUACCUUGUCGCAGUCCGUACCCUUGACACCGCAUAGACACACAUCUACUGUCUCGCUCUGCUAGGAGUGGAGGUCCGCCGCCAGGGGGUCCCAUGCUGACAUGGCCCCGCCAUCAACAACUCCCUGCGCACCCGCCCUGAUCCUCGCCAACCAAGCCGGCCUGACGACUCAGGCCGCACCAUGGUGACAUCUUUGACUGACUGAUCCCUCGAGUCCCAAUCCGGUCAGGUUCCUAAGCCUUAUAAGCCUGCACCGCCCUGCCUCCGCACUAGCCGCGGACCCACCCCACUGCUCGGGCGUGCACUAGACCAAACACACUCUGAACGAUAAUGAGCACAGAGCCAAAUUCGCAUCCGCGCACAGCCCCGCGACGCCCGCGUUCCUAAGCCGUGCACCAGCGUGAUGCACCCGGCCGUGCGCUUCCGAACAGCCCGGGCUGCUGUGCGCCAGGCACACAGGCAGACCCAGACACGCGACGCGACCAUGGCGCAGCCACUGCGCAAGGCUGCGCGCCCAGCUGCCGCCCCCUCAACUCCCGGGCUCUGUCAGCAACGAAUUAUUACUGCUACAGCCGCCGCCGGAGCGGCGAGCGGGCGUCACCGAAUGCUCCCUAAGGCUAUCUGCACUCCUGCUGCUGCGGCCUAGCCGCUUACUUCUUGGGCAGGGGCACCUUCUCGCCCUUCUCGUUCAGCACCUGCACAGGCGGACACAGGGAAGGUCAAGCAAGAGCACCGAAUAGCAAGUAAAAACACUAACACGGCUUACACCAUCAGCACGCUGCACCACCCGCUGCUGCUCCCUUCCUCUCAUCACACCGCCAACCCCUGCCCAGCCGCCCCUAUCGCCUGCCCGCGGCCUCACCAUGUUCUCGCUGCUGAUGGCCUCCGCCUUGAAGUCCUCCUCCAGGCUGUCGUCGGCGUCAAUCACCUCGUCCUUGAUCUCGCCCGCCAUCUUCUCCAGGCUGGGCACGUCCUUCAGCGCCUCAGACGACUUGGCCUGCAGGGUGAGGAGGAUGGCCGGUGCGAGCGAGUGUUGAGAUUAUAUGUGCAUGAGUUGGGGUUCGGAGAGGGUUUGCUGCAAGGGUGCACGGCGCCGCCAUUUCAAGGCACUGCACCCAGCUGCCGGUCAUGACGCCCCACAGCCGCCUGCUCGACCCCCGCCUCCCACCUUCUUGCUCUCGUCCUUGCGGGCCGCCACGUCCUUGGCCAGCUUGUCGGCCUUCUCCACCACCUCGUGGAUGCCGCCCACCAUGUAGAAAGCCAUCUCAGGAAGGUCGUCGUACUUGCCCUGUGUGUGCGUGUGAGCAGGGGGUGCAGGCGGCGGCGAACGUCAGCAUGGGUUAAGCCGCCACUAGGUGCGACAUGAUCGGUACAGCGUUGUUCCUGAUAUCAGAAGCUCCUCGCGGGUUGCGCAAAUGCACCGAACCGCUCCCCCCAACCGCACGCACCUGCAGGAUGCCGGUGAAGGCGGAGAUGGUGUCCUUCAGGUCCACGUACUUGCCGGGGGUGCCGGUGAACACCUCGGCCACCUGGAAGGGCUGCGACAGGAAACGCUGGAUCUUGCGGGCGCGCGCCACGGUCAGCUUGUCCUCCUCGCUCAGCUCAUCCAUACCCAGAAUGGCAAUAAU